UAGCGGAGGGGGCUAGCGUUGUUCGGAAUUACUGGGCGUAAAGCGCACGUAGGCGGCUUUGCAAGUCAGAGGUGAAACGGCCCGGGGCUCCGAACCCGAAUUGCCUUUGAGACUGCACGCUAGAAUUGUGGAGAGGUAAGUGGAAUUCCGAGUGUAGAGGUGAAAUUCGUAGAUAUUCGGAAGAACACCAGUGGCGAAGGCGACUUACUGGACACAUAUUGACGCUGAGGUGCGAAAGCGUGGGGAGCAAACAGG
rnacentral:rRNA from 1 species